rnacentral:rRNA from 1 species
UACGGGGGGGGUAAGCGUUGUUCGGAAUUACUGGGCGUAAAGGGCUCGUAGGCGGCCAACUAAGUCGGACGUGAAAUCCCUCAGCUUAACUGGGGAACUGCGUCCGAUACUGGAUGGCUUGGAUUUGGGAGAGGGAUGCGGAAUUCCAGGUGUAGCGGUGAAAUUCGUAGAUAUCGGGAGGAACACCGGUGGCGAAGGCGGCGACCUGGGUAGAUACUGACGCUGAGGUGCGAAAGCGUGGGGAGCAAACAGG